rnacentral:rRNA from 1 species
CUACGGGCUGCAGCAGUGAGGAAUAUUGCACAAUGGGGGGAACCCUGAUGCAGCAACGCCGCGUGGAGGAUGACGCAUUUCGGUGUGUAAACUCCUUUUAUAUGUCAAGAAAAUGACGGUAGCAUAUGAAUAAGCACCGGCUAACUCCGUGCCAGCAGCCGCGGUAGUACGGAGGGUGCAAGCGUUACUCGGAAUCACUGGGCGUAAAGGACGCGUAGGCGGGUUGGAAAGUCAGGUGUGAAAUCCUACAGCUUAACUGUAGAACUGCACUUGAAACUUCUAAUCUAGAGUAUGGGAGGGGGAGAUGGAAUUAGUGGUGUAGGGGUAAAAUCCGUAGAUAUCACUAGGAAUACCUAAAGCGAAGGCGAUCUCCUGGAACAUUACUGACGCUAAGGCGUGAAAGCGUGGGGAGCAAACAGGAUUAGAUACCCUGGUAGUC